ensembl:lncRNA
GUUCUGGAGGUUAGGACGGGCACAUCUGCCUAGCAGAGGGAAGGGUUACCUCUUACCCUGGGAGCCUUCACCCAGCCAGCUUGGGAGUCGCUGAUCCUUCCAAAUCCCUAGUGUGCACAAGGCCUGAGGCCAGCCGCUGCCUCAUGUCAGCCUCACGAAGAGUUUGUCGUGGAAACCAAGUAGCCUCCUUUUGCAGGUGAGGCUGAGAGAAGGGUUGUGACUUGUCCACAGCAGAGUCUGCAUCGAUCCAGGCUCCUGGAGUUGGCGUCCCGAGUGAGCUCUUUCCAUAAGGGGUGGAAUAGUGAUCAUGGGGGUUGAGAAGAUUAGGGGCUGUGAUUCCUCUCCAACAAAACCUUACUGGAGAAAAUGAAUCACACCUGGAAUGUUGAACAACAAGCCCAGGGCCUGGGUUUUGAGGCAGAGGCAGGACCAGGGGGCUGUGAAGCUGCCAGCUUGGGGCAGGUUUUAAUGGGGAAGAGCAGUUGGGGGCCUCGUGUGGAACAGAGUAGUCCAUGGGGCCCAGGCCUCUGCACAGCUGUGCUUCUCCCCUUUCUUGUUGGUAAGUCGUGUGCAUCGUCUUGUGGUGGGCGGGGUGAUCAGAGGAGGCCCAGUGGUAAAGAAUCUGCCUGCCAAGGAACUAGAGGCAGGAGACCCGAGUUCGAUCCCUGGGUUGGGAAGAUCCCCUGGAGGUGGGGAGGUGGAAAUGGCAACUCACGUCAGUAUUCUUGCUUGGAGAAUCCCAUGAACAGAGGAGCCUGGUGGGCUGUAGUUCAUGGGGUUGCAAAAAGUCGGAUAUGACUGAGCGACUGAGGAUGCGUGCGGUAUAGGUGAUUGAAGAACCAAGAGACCCUCUUCCCGCCAGUGGUGUUAGCUGGGAGGAAGGAGACACCAAGCUCAGAGCAUCACACGGGUGAGACUCAGUGCCCACCUGGAGCGAGCUCCCAGUCUGAGUGGGGAGACAGAACAUUUACCCUAGGAAGCAUCCACUCUGACGGGGGAGAUGAAGCCUCUUUCUCAGGAAGCCUGGGCCACACAUCCCCUGGAGGAAAUCGCUUGAGAGUGUUGAAGAGCAGGGACCAGUGAGGGUGGAUUAAUCCAGGAGGAACCAGUCUCGCAGGGCAUGGAGAGUUGAGUGGGCAGGUGGGGCAGGGCCUGGGGGCCUGGGAGGCUGGGGUCUUGAGGAUGGGCAGUCUGGAGUUCCUUGGGAUUUCUGAGUUGGUUCCCGCAGGUCCUCAGGUCCCCUUCAGCCUUCAGGGCAAAGGGGAGAGGGGAUGAGCCCUGGGCCUUAAAGGGGACCCCCCUGACCUGUUGCCUUCUCAUCCUCCCCUCUAGCUACCUCAGGCCAAGGAAGGGGAAGGGUGGAUAGGGGAAAGAAGGGGGGGGCAGAGGGGAGAAGCUGGUCCUCUCAAGCUGGACUCUUCCAGCCUCAGAAGCAGCAAGGGUUCCCACCUGUGCCCCCCUCUGGCUCCCCUUACUGGACCUCCUCCCCAUCCAUUCCUGUUGGUUUGGGGCCUCCCUUGACCUCUCCUCCUGUUCUGGGCACUGAGGCCUCUGGCCCUUGCUGGGACAGGGCUCUGGACAGCUGAUGUGGCUUUGCCUGGAAAGACGCGGUAUCCCAGGUGGCCGAGUCCCAACUUGGGUCUACCCUGGGAGCAUGUUCCCUGGAAACCAGUUAUGGGGGAAGGGAGCACCUGGGGACUUCUGGUAUGUGUGGGGGCACUGGAGGAACCCCCUGCCUCUGACUCUGUUAAUUGGAUGCCUCCUGAGGGCCCAGAUUGUCCGCAUCUCCCCUGGCUGCCGGGGAGUCGGAGGGUGGGGCCUUCUCUGGAGCCAGACACAAAUCAUUAGCGGGUGGAUCUGGGCAGGGCGGCCCUGGGGCCUCAGGAGAGAGGCUGAGGAAACAGAAAAGAAGAGGAUUCCACCUGAGGGCAAGCAUGGCGGGGCGAGGGUUCACUUCCUGGCCAGGGGUGGGGGUGCUCGGGGUGAGGUAAGGGGUAGGGCAUCCUUGGUGACCCUGUGUAGCCCAUCCUGGGUGAGGUCCCCGCAAGUGAGAGGGGCUCAGGGUCUGUGAGGAAGCAAGCUGACAGGCCCUGGUGGCCGGGCUCUGGGUGUAGGGUCUUUGAGAACCCUCAAGGAUUUGGGGUGUUCUCUUCAUCAGUCAAGCCAAGGUGCCAGCUGGGAGCCCACCCCCACAUCCUGGGCCUCUCACUUCCCCAACCUCACCCGAUAUGGACUCUUUCCUUGGAGGGAGUGUAGGUGGCCAUGUAGUCCCUUCCUGGGUCCCUGUCUUCCACCCUCGUCAUGGUCCAGAGUCCUCGUUCCUAACAAUUCAGUGAACACUUACAGAGCGCCUGCUGCAUACAUGCUGUGUUCUGGGUUCUGGGUGGGGUGGGCACUGUCCUAGGAGGGUGACAGUUAAUGCUUGGGGGGCCGGUAGGAGCCAAGGUCAGGUGGGCUGAUGUGGCAAGAUGUUUGUCACCAUCAAUAUGCAUCGAUUUUUUAAUAAAAAUAUGUGUAUUUUUAACAUUUCUUCUUGGCUGUGCUGGGUCUUCAUUGCUGUGCUCAGGUUUUCUCUAGUUGCGGCGAGUGGGGGCUACUCUCUAGUUGCGGUGCGUGGGUGUCUCGUUGUGGUGGCUUCUCUUGUUGCAGAGUGCAGGCUCUAGAGCUCGAGCUCAGGAGCUGGGUCAUGCCGUGGCGUGGAGUCGGACACAACUCAGCAACUGAACAACAACAUCAGUGUGGGGUCUUAGUUCCCAGACCAGGGAUCGAACCUGCGUCCCCUGCAUUGGCAGGCGGACCACUGGCCCACCAGUGAAGUCCUGAUAUGCAUCUGUUGAACAUCAACUGCAUACGGGGCCCCCAGAUCACCUUGCACCUUCCACCAACACCAUAGGGUGGGUGUAGUCCCAGGGACCCUCCCCGCAUACCCUAGUCCUGCUCGAGUCUGAGACAGGCCUGUGCUACUCAUGCCGAGAACGCAUGGGCUCUUCAGCAACCUCUGGAGAGGAGACCCAGGGCCUGUAGGUUUGGUCAAGCCCGGGGCUGGCGUGGGGACCCUGGGGGGAUUCAGCCCUCUCCCCGGGGUCUCUUCCUGCAGUCCCCUCUCUGCUGUUCUGGACUCCCAGCAGCCUCUGGGGCUGGACUGCCUCCUCCCUUUCCUCUCUUCUUCCUCCUCUGGGCCAAGCUGCUGGCACCUGUGGGGGGUGUGGGCCUGGCGCUGCC